CGACUUGUAAUUAGUCGAAAAAA
rnacentral:snRNA from 1 species